UACGGAGGGGGCUAGCGUUGUUCGGAAUCACUGGGCGUAAAGCGCACGUAGGCGGCUUGUUAAGUCAGGGGUGAAAUCCUGGAGCUCAACUCCAGAACUGCCUUUGAUACUGGCGAGCUUGAGUCCGGGAGAGGUGAGUGGAACUGCGAGUGUAGAGGUGAAAUUCGUAGAUAUUCGCAAGAACACCAGUGGCGAAGGCGGCUCACUGGCCCGGUACUGACGCUGAGGUGCGAAAGCGUGGGGAGCAAACAGG
rnacentral:rRNA from 1 species